rnacentral:rRNA from 1 species
GUGGGGAAUAUUGGACAAUGGGCGCAAGCCUGAUCCAGCCAUGCCGCGUGAGUGAUGAAGGCCUUAGGGUUGUAAAGCUCUUUUGUCCGGGAAGAUAAUGACUGUACCGGAAGAAUAAGCCCCGGCUAACUUCGUGCCAGCAGCCGCGGUAAUACGAAGGGGGCUAGCGUUGUUCGGAAUCACUGGGCGUAAAGCGCACGUAGGCGGACCAUUAAGUCAGGGGUGAAAGCCUGGAGCUCAACUCCAGAACUGCCUUUGAUACUGAUGGUCUCGAGUAUGGAAGAGGUUGGUGGAACGGCGAGUGUAGAGGUGAAAUUCGUAGAUAUUCGCAAGAACACCGGUGGCGAAGGCGGCCAACUGGUCCAUUACUGACGCUGAGGUGCGAAAGCGUGGGGAGCAAACAGGAUUAGAAACCCGAGUAGUCC